rnacentral:lncRNA from 1 species
GUGAAAUAAUAAGUGUGUACCCAUACAUAACCGUUCUAUGUUCGGAUGUAUGGAGAAACAAUUUGAUCUAUGUGUCCUAACCGUUCCAUGUUCGGGAGGUAGUAGUGUUUUAAGGUACUCAUGUAUGUUGUUCUGUGUUUGGGUAGAUGGGAACUAGUGAUAAGUAACUGUGCUUACGCAUAAUGUAUGAUAACUGAUUAAUCCUCCAUAAAAUGAUGAAGUAUACAACAUGAAUUUGUUUUCUGAUUUAUAUAUGUUUUGUUGUG